rnacentral:RNase_P_RNA from 1 species
UGAGGCAGCCAAAUGGUCGCGUGCCUGAAAGGCAUGAGGAAAGUCCGAGCACCUCAGAGCAAGGUGCCAGCUAACGGCUGGUGGAGGCGACUCCAAGGCGAGUGCAACAGAAAGAAACCGCCGGUAAUCCGGCAAGGGUGGAAAGGUGCGGUAAGAGCGCACCGGCGGCAUGGCGACUU